rnacentral:rRNA from 1 species
UACAGAGGUCUCAAGCGUUGUUCGGAAUCACUGGGCUUAAAGGGUGCGUAGGCGGCCAUGUAAGUGAGGUGUGAAAUCCCUCGGCUCAACCGAGGAACUGCGCUUCAUACUGCAUGGCUUGAGGGAGACAGGGGUAAGCGGAACUGAUGGUGGAGCGGUGAAAUGCGUUGAUAUCAUCAGGAACACCGGUGGCGAAAGCGGCUUACUGGGUCUCUUCUGACGCUGAGGUACGAAAGCUAGGGUAGCGAACGGG